rnacentral:ncRNA from 1 species
CCUUGAAAUCAGUUUUUACUUGACUUACACAUGCAAGUCUCCGCACACCCGUGAAAACGCCCUUCCAACCCCCUAGGGACAAGGAGCUGAUAUCAGGCAUAAUAUUACCCAAAACAUCUAGCCACGCCACACCCAUAAGGGCCCUCAGCAGUGAUUAACAUUAAAAAUAAACGUCAGUUUGACUUAGCCAAACGAAAAUAGAGCCGGCCAAUCUGGUGCCAGCCGCCGCGGUUACACCAUGUGGCUCAAAUUGAUCUCAACACGGCGUAAAGCGUGAUUAAAGAAACAUAACCCUUAGGGUCAAAUUAAAAUUAAGCUGUAGCACGCCUGUUUUUAAGAAGCUCUAUUUCGAAAGAUACCCUAACCUACCAACUUGAAUUCHCAACAACUAGAACACAAACUGGGAUUAGAUACCCCACUAUGCCUAGUCAUAAACUUUAACUUACUCUCACAUCGCCAGGGAACUACGAGCAAAGCUUAAAACCCAAAGGACUUGACGGUGCCCCAUAUCCCCCUAGAGGAGCCUGUCCUAUAACCGAUACCCCUCGUUCAACCUCACCACUUUUAGUUUAUCAACCUGUAUACUUCCGUCGCCAGCUUACCGCAUGAGCGAACUUAGUAAGCUCAAUGUAAUCCACCAAAACGUCAGGUCAAAGUGCAGCAUAUAAAGUGGCAAGAGAUGGGCUACACUUUCUAUUUUAGAAGACACAARAGACUAUGUGAAACCAUAGUUAGAAGGUGGAUUUAGUAGUAAGGGGAAACAGUAUACUCCCCUUAAUCUGGCACUGGGGUGUGUACACACCGUCCGUCACCCUCUUCAACAAUUUACCCCCAGUUCUUAACUAACCUACCAACCACAGAAGAGGCAAGUCGUAACAUGGGAAA